rnacentral:rRNA from 1 species
GACGAACCGUGCGAACGUUGUUCGGAAUCACUGGGCUUAAAGGGCGCGUAGGCGGCUCGCGAGGUCGGGGGUGAAAUCCCACAGCUUAACUGUGGAAGUGCCUUCGAUACCGGCGGGCUCGAGGAAGGUAGGGGUGCGCGGAACUUCUGGUGGAGCGGUGAAAUGCGUUGAUAUCAGAAGGAACGCCGGCGGCGAAAGCGGCGCACUGGACCUUUUCUGACGCUGAGGCGCGAAAGCCAGGGGAGCAAACAGG